CUGAGAUCUGUGUGGCCCCUCAUUCAUUUCCCACUGUGUGAUUUCUCUGGACUGCAAUCUGGCUGUCAUUGAUUGAGAAACAAACUUCCACCAUUGGAUUUCUGUCUCGGAUUGAGUGGACCCAGGAAGCAUCUUUCCACUAGAAAUUGUUGGAAAGUUCUGGCAUAGCUCACAAAACCCAGUCACUGGAUGAAUAGAUGGACAAUUCUGGAUGAAGUACCUGAGAGCUCAUGAGUUUGCAUAUUACACCAUGCCAAAUGUCACGCAAAACAGACAAUGGUUUUACUUUCACUGCAAAGUUAUUGGUGAACCUCUCACAAAACCCAUGGUUCAUGGAAGAGAUCUCAUCAGCAAAAAGGAACAGAAUGAUACAGAACAUAAGCUCACUUCAAAUCACAUCAGUGAGAAGUAUUAAAUCAGGGAAGCAGUGCAAAAUUUUGCAGGAUAGCAUCAACCAGAAGAGGAUAAAUUCAGGUGAGUGAUCUGUUUAGUAACAAACCAACAUCACAUUUCUUUGAAAUCCUAAGAGGCA